AAGUCGUAACAAGGUUUCCGUAGGUGAACCUGCGGAAGGAUCAUUAGUGAAUUUGUUUUGUGGCUGGGGGUGUCUUGCUAAGUUUAUUUACAAGACAUCCCCCCCAAACACCCCCACUAUUAUCACGCCGGCUGAGGGGGAGCAAUCCUCUAAAGUCGAGAGCCUAGUAAGCUCGGAAAUUUGUGAGAACCAAAACCAGCUAUUAAUUUUAGUUGUGUUUUUUUUUCUCAUUUUUUUUUUUAGAACCAUAUAGUCAUGUAUGUUAAGUAGUAUUCUUAAAACAAAUACAACUUUCAGCAACGGAUCUCUUGGCUCUC
rnacentral:misc_RNA from 1 species